CACCAAAUGGACUAAGACAACUACUUAAUCAUCACAACAAACUUAUUGAGGAACCCUAUUUUUACCAGCAUUUAUAAAAUGGGAAAACUCAAACACAGAGGGAUAUGCAACCGCCGAAAUUCACACGAUUCACCAUUGUGCUCUCCAGCUGGCUCUGAAGAAGCAAGCCACCACAUUGCUCACUGCUCGUGGAGAGGAACACACGUGGAGGAACUGUGCAUAGCCUCCAGGAGCUGAGUGUAGCUUCCAGGUGACAGUCAGGAAAAAUCUAGAGCUCUCAGUCCUACUACCGAGGUAAGGAAAUAAAUU
rnacentral:lncRNA from 10 species